CCUGCUGCAAGAGAAAAAUGAUCUGCAGCUCCAAGUGCAGGCUGAAGCAGAUAGCUUGGCUGAUGCUGAGGAAAGAUGUGACCAGCUCAUCAAAACCAAAAUCCAGCUGGAAGCCAAAAUUAAGGAAGUGACAGAACGGGCUGAGGAUGAGGAGGAAAUUAAUGCCGAGCUGACAGCCAAGAAGAGGAAACUGGAGGAUGAAUGUUCAGAGCUGAAGAAAGAUAUAGAUGACCUGGAGUUAACAUUGGCUAAGGUUGAGAAGGAAAAGCAUGCCACUGAAAACAAGGUGAAAAACCUCACAGAGGAAAUGGCAGCCCUGGAUGAGAACAUUGCCAAG